CUCCAUUCUGGUGUCAUGAGGACGUACUGGAGCUACCAUAACCCCGUGUUCUGCAUCGUUUCCACCAGUGAACCAUGAACAUGUCUGACGUGUGUACUCCAGACAGGAGACAUGUUCUCCUGUGUCCUCUGUGACAACUUCAUCCAGCACAACCAUCUGCAGAAGAUCUACACCAUCACACUUCUACAUCAUCUUCAUGAACUAUUGGUGCAAACAAGAGACACCACUGCUGGACCACACAGAGAAGUCUUCUACAUGCUGCCAUCCCAGUCUUUCUUCAAGUAGGUGAUGAAAUGUCACCUGUGAAGCUUCACCUGACCACCUGACUGGGCCUGAGAAAGAUCAUUGACAUCAUGCUGCCAUGCUGCACACCAACAACAGAGGAAGCAAGACUUUACGGAACUACGAGACUCCUCCUCCUCCUGCCAGUGACCUGAGUUCCUCACAGUAGAAGAAAAGCUCUACCUCUGCUGUGAGUCUUUCUCUUCACCAUCGAUCCUGAUCAUCAAUACUGUCAUCAAUACUCCCAAAACAUCUGGGUGUGAAACUGCACUGGCCAGGAGAAGACUGGACCUGCAGCACAUUUAAGGACCAGUUCCAUGUUCAUGCCUGCAUGACACCAGCUCUUAAAAAGAGUAACCUGUGGUGACUCUUGAGUCAGAGACCAGGCAUGUUGCUGCAGGGAAAUGUUGCUGAGGACCAGUCAACGUUUCUGGACUAACUUCCUCUCAUCUGUGUAGCAAAAGGCCUUCUCAGUAAGACUCAACCUUCCUGUGUGCAGCAGAGACUGAACUGGUCCAUGGAGGCAGCAGAUGAUCAGCCUCUGGAAAAGGAAACCAUCACAUGGUGAUCACACCGUACAUCUUCACUGUGACAACAU